AUAGGUUAUGCAUAAUUGCAAAAGUCUAACAUUUUAAUGCUAUAAAACCGACUGAUACGCUAUACCAAAGUAGAUCAUUCUCAGAAGGAAUCUCACGGCCAGAACAAAGUAUCAAAAUCGUCAAAAUGAACAAGUCUAUCAUCCUUGUCCUGCUCCCAUGCCUUGUUGCUUUCGUCAUGGCCCAGCAAUACGGAUACCAAUCCGGAUACCAAUCAGGAUAUCCAGCUUACUACUCUAAUCAAUAUAAUGCCUACAGACAACAGACCGGACUGUACAACUAUGGAAACGCUGCCACAGCUCAACUCAAAGGAGCCAGACUUCUCAACUACUUGUUCGGCUUCUUGCUCCUUUUGGAUGUCACCAACGCCACCGGAAACUCACUGAAAACACUCGGUUAAGCUCUAUUUGCUGUAAAUGGAAGAAUUUGAUCUUUAUACAUACCGUUUCGGAUCUACAACACAGAAAGUUAAUGCAAAUUGAGAAGUAAUAGAAAAGAUGGAUAUAUUGAGCAUUUGACCAAUCUGAUAUUUAAUUUUAAAAAGAAUUCAAAAAUGUUGGUGAAAGUUAUAUUUUAAUAAAGUUUUGAAAAAAAAAUAUAA